UCCCCUAGUAACUGCGAGUGAAGCGGGAAAAGCUCAAAUUUUAAAUCUGGCGGUCCUUUGCGGCCGUCCGAGUUGUAAUCUAGAGAAGUGCUUACCCGCGCUGGACCGUGUACAAGUCUCCUGGAAUGGAGCGUCAUAGAGGGUGAGAAUCCCGUCUUUGACACGGACUGCCAGGGCUUAUGUGGUGCGCUCUCGAAGAGUCGAGUUGUUUGGGAAUGCAGCUCUAAAUGGGUGGUAAAUUCCAUCUAAAGCUAAAUACAGGCGAGAGACCGAUAGCGAACAAGUACCGUGAGGGAAAGAUGAAAAGAACUUUGGAAAGAGAGUUAAACAGUACGUGAAAUUGCUGAAAGGGAAACGUUUGAAGUCAGUCGCGUUGGCUGGGGAUCAACCUUGCUCUUGCAGGGCGCACUCUCUGGUUUCGACGGGUCAGCAUCAGUUUUGGUCGCUGGAGAAAGGCUAAGGGAAUGUGGCAUUGCUUCGGUGAUGUGUUAUAGCCCUUGGUUGUAUGCAGCGGUUGGGACUGAGGAACUCAGCGCGCGCCUCUCAAAGGGUGCCGGGUCUUUGACCACGUACGCGCUUAGGAUGCUGGCAUAAUGGCUUUAAGCGACCCGUCUUGAAACACGGACCAAGGAGUCUAACAUGCUUGCGAGUGUUUGGGUGGAAAACCCGAGCGCGUAAUGAAAGUGAAAGUUGGGAACCCUGUCGUGCGGUGCACCGACGCCCGGACCAGACCUUCUUGCGACGG
rnacentral:rRNA from 1 species